UUGCCCUAGUAACGGCGAGUGAAGCGGCAACAGCUCAAAUUUGAAAUCUGGCCCUCGGGCCCGAGUUGUAAUUUGCAGAGGAUGCUUUUGGCGAGGUGCCUUCCCGAGUUCCCUGGAACGGGACGCCUUAGAGGGUGAGAGCCCCGUACGGUUGGACACUAAGCCUCUGUAAAGCUCCUUCGACGAGUCGAGUAGUUUGGGAAUGCUGCUCUAAAUGGGAGGUAAAUUUCUUCUAAAGCUAAAUACCGGCCAGAGACCGAUAGCGCACAAGUAGAGUGAUCGAAAGAUGAAAAGCACUUUGAAAAGAGGGUUAAAUAGCACGUGAAAUUGUUGAAAGGGAAGCGUUUACGGCCAGACCUUUUCCUGGCGGAUCAUCUGGCGUUCUCGCCAGUGCACUCCGCCGGGUUUAGGCCAGCAUCGGCUUCUGUAGGGGGAUAAAAGCAGUGGGAAAGUAGCUCCCUCGGGAGUGUUAUAGCCCUAAGCAUAAUNNCNUUNNGGGGGCCGNGGNCCCCUCUUUUUACNUNAGAUGCGGGNGUAANGGUNGUCUACNUNCCCU
rnacentral:rRNA from 1 species